rnacentral:misc_RNA from 1 species
AAGUCGUAACAAGGUUUCCGUAGGUGAACCUGCGGAAGGAUCAUUAAUGAGUUCGGGGGCCUAGCCCCCAGCGGUGGGUGUCUGUCCGGGUCCAUCCGGGCUCGGCCAGCGCUCGUCGUGUACCUCAACCCCAUGUUUACCUUACCUUUGUUGCUUUGGCGGGCCUUGAGUAGGCUAUACGGCUCAUGCCGACCCCCAGCGUUUCCUGCUGGGGGGCGGCUCGCGCCCGCCAGAGGUUUAUUCAAAUCUUGUUUAUCAGUGAAGUCCGAGUAAAUAUCAAAUAAUCAAAACUUUCAACAA